rnacentral:rRNA from 1 species
UGGGGAAUAUUGGACAAUGGGCGCAAGCCUGAUCCAGCCAUGCCGCGUGUGUGAAGAAGGCCUUUUGGUUGUAAAGCACUUUAAGCGAGGAGGAGGCUACUUGGAUUAAUACUCUAGGAUAGUGGACGUUACUCGCAGAAUAAGCACCGGCUAACUCUGUGCCAGCAGCCGCGGUAAUACAGAGGGUGCGAGCGUUAAUCGGAUUUACUGGGCGUAAAGCGUGCGUAGGCGGCUUCUUAAGUCGGAUGUGAAAUCCCUGAGCUUAACUUAGGAAUUGCAUUCGAUACUGGGAAGCUAGAGUACGGGAGAGGAUGGUAGAAUUCCAGGUGUAGCGGUGAAAUGCGUAGAGAUCUGGAGGAAUACCGAUGGCGAAGGCAGCCAUCUGGCCUAAUACUGACGCUGAGGUACGAAAGCAUGGGGAGCAAACAGG